AAAGGAAUUGACGGGGGCCCGCACAAGCGGUGGAGCAUGUGGCUUAAUUCGAUGCAACGCGAAAAACCUUACCUGGGUUCGAAGUGUAACACUGUAUCCUGAUGAAAGUCGGGAGUCAUUUAGUUGGGUGUUACAAAGGUGCUGCAUGGCUGUCGUCAGCUCGUGCCGUGAGGUGUUGGGUUAAGUCCCGCAACGAGCGCAACCCUUGUGUCUAGUUGCCAGCUAGGAGUGAUCCGUAGGGCACUCUAGACAGACUGCCCGUGAUAAGCGGGAGGAAGGUGGGGAUGACGUCAAGUCAGUAUGGCCCUUAUGUCCAGGGCUGCACACGUGCUACAAUGGCCGGUACAGAGGGACGCAAGACCGCGAGGUGGAGCAAAUCCCGAAAACCGUCCUCAGUUCAGAUUGCAGGCUGCAACUCGCCUGCAUGAAGCUGGAAUCGCUAGUAAUGGCGCAUCAGCUACGGCGCCGUGAAUACGUUCCCGGGCCUUGUACACACCGCCCGU
rnacentral:rRNA from 1 species